GACGAACGCUGGCGGCGUGCCUAAUACAUGCAAGUAGAACGCACAGGAUACACCGUAGUUUACUACACCGUAUUCUGUGAGUUGCGAACGGGUGAGUAACGCGUAGGUAACCUGCCUGGUAGCGGGGGAUAACUAUUGGAAACGAUAGCUAAUACCGCAUAAGAACAUUUACUGCAUGGUAGAUGUUUAAAAGGUGCAAAUGCAUCACUACCAGAUGGACCUGCGUUGUAUUAGCUAGUAGGUGAGGUAACGGCUCACCUAGGCGACGAUACAUAGCCGACCUGAGAGGGUGAUCGGCCACACUGGGACUGAGACACGGCCCAGACUCCUACGGGAGGCAGCAGUAGGGAAUCUUCGGCAAUGGGGGGAACCCUGACCGAGCAACGCCGCGUGAGUGAAGAAGGUUUUCGGAUCGUAAAGCUCUGUUGUUAAAGGAAGAAACGAGUGUGAGAAUGGAAAAG
rnacentral:rRNA from 1 species